GCCNUGCCGCGUGCAGGAUGACUGCCCUAUGGGUUGUAAACUGCUUUUAUACAGGAAGAAACACUCUCUCGAGUAGAGAGCUUGACGGUACUGUAAGAAUAAGGAUCGGCUAACUCCGUGCCAGCAGCCGCGGUAAUACGGAGGAUCCAAGCGUUAUCCGGAAUCAUUGGGUUUAAAGGGUCCGUAGGUGGAUAAUUAAGUCAGAGGUGAAAUCCUGCAGCUCAACUGUAGAAUUGCCUUUGAUACUGGUUAUCUUGAGUUAUUAUGAAGUAGUUAGAAUAUGUAGUGUAGCGGUGAAAUGCAUAGAUAUUACAUAGAAUACCAAUUGCGAAGGCAGAUUACUAAUAAUCAACUGACACUGAUGGACGAAAGCGUGGGGAGCGAACAGGAUUAGAUACCCNG
rnacentral:rRNA from 1 species